rnacentral:rRNA from 1 species
AUUGAACGCUGGCGGCAGGCUUAACACAUGCAAGUCGAGCGAGCGGCGGACGGGUGAGUAAUGUCUGGGAAACUGCCUGAUGGAGGGGGAUAACUACUGGAAACGGUAGCUAAUACCGCAUACCAUCAGAUGUGCCCAGAUGGGAUUAGCUAGUAGGUGGGGUAAUGGCUCACCUGGGCGACGAUCCCUAGCUGGUCUGAGAGGAUGACCAGCCACACUGGAACUGAGACACGGUCCAGGCUCCUUCGGGAGGCAACAGUGGGGAAUAGUGCACAAUGGGCGCAAGCCUGAAGUAGCCAAGCCGCGUGUGUGAAGAAGGCCUUCGGGGUUUAAAACACUUUCAGCGGGGAGGCGUUAAUCGCAGAAGAAGCAACGGCUAACUCCGUGCCAGCAGCCGCGGUAAUUC